rnacentral:piRNA from 1 species
UCCAAGACAGCCAUUGAAAAUGCUCCCAAAU